CUACGGGGUGCAGCAGUGAGGAAUAUUGCACAAUGGGGGGAACCCUGAUGCAGCAACGCCGCGUGGAGGAUGACGCAUUUCGGUGUGUAAACUCCUUUUAUAUGUCAAGAAAAUGACGGUAGCAUAUGAAUAAGCACCGGCUAACUCCGUGCCAGCAGCCGCGGUAAUACGGAGGGUGCAAGCGUUACUCGGAAUCACUGGGCGUAAGGGACGCGUAGGCGGGUUGGAAAGUCAGGUGUGAAAUCCUACAGCGUAACUGUAGAACUGCACUUGAAACUUCUAAUCUAGAGUAUGGGAGGGGGAGAUGGAAUUAGUGGUGUAGGGGUAAAAUCCGUAGAUAUCACUAGGAAUACCUAAAGCGAAGGCGAUCUCCUGGAACAUUACUGACGCUAAGGCGUGAAAGCGUGGGGAGCAAACAGGAUUAGAUACCCCUGUAGUC
rnacentral:rRNA from 1 species